UACGGAGGGUGCGAGCGUUGUCCGGAAUCAUUGGGCGUAAAGGGCGCGUAGGUGGCCCGGUCAGUUCGUGGUGAAAGCGCGGGGCUCAACCCUGCGUCGGCCAUGAAUACUGCCGCGGCUGGAGCACUGUAGGAGGCAGGCGGGAAUUCCGGGUGUAGCGGUGGAAUGCGUAGAGAUCCGGAAGAACACCGGUGGCGAAGGCGGCCUGCUGGG
rnacentral:rRNA from 1 species